rnacentral:rRNA from 1 species
UAUCGUGGCCAUGCCUGUUUCUCAAUGCCUGAUCUAGUCAGAUCUCAGAGGCGAAGCAGUGCUGGGCCUGGUUUCUACUUGGAUGGGAGACCGCAGCUGCCCCACUGUAACACCUGGCCAGCUGUGGUCU